CCAACCCCUCUGGUACAACCUCUUUUCUUUUGUCCACCCAUUCUUGUGGAUCCUACAAGAUAAGCAAGCAACAAUAAAAAUGUUAAUUUAAAAAUAUUUAGAUGAUAUUGAACACAAAUAGGCAUAUAAUGAUUCGUACAUGUAGAGCUAACAUCAGGAGUCAAGUCCAUGGUAGGAUGUGUAUGCUCAGUAGGUUCUGGCUCGAUAGGUGGUAUAUGGACUGGUGGUGAC
rnacentral:lncRNA from 1 species